UGAGGAGUCUUGCGCAAUGGGGGCAACCCUGACGCAGCCACGCCGCGUGCCGGAAGACGGCCCUAUGGGUUGUAAACGGCUUUUACCGGGGAAGAACCCGGGUCUUUCGAGACCCGCUGACGGUACCUGGUGAAUAAGCACCGGCUAACUCCGUGCCAGCAGCGGCGGUAAUACGGAGGGUGCAAGCGUUGUCCGGAAUCUUUGGGUGUAAAGGGUGCGCAGGCGGUAGCUUAAGUCGGGGGUGAAAUCCUGCCGCUCAACGGCAGAAUGGCCUUGGAUACUGGGUUUCUUGAGUCCGGAAGAGGUUGGUGGAAUUGGUGGUGUAGCGGUGAAAUGCAUAGAUAUCACCAAGAACACCGGUGGCGAAGGCGGCCAACUGGUCCGUGACUGACGCUGAGGCACGAGAGCGUGGGGAGCGAACAGGAUUAGAUACCCCUGUAGUCC
rnacentral:rRNA from 1 species